UACGUAGGGGGCAAGCGUUGUCCGGACUUAUUGGGCGUAAAGAGCGUGUAGGCGGCCAGACAGGUCCGUUGUGAAAACUCGAGGCUCAACCUCGAGACGUCGACGGAAACCGUCUGGCUAGAGUCCGGAAGAGGAGUGUGGAAUUCCUGGUGUAGCGGUGAAAUGCGCAGAUAUCAGGAAGAACACCUAUGGCGAAGGCAGCACUCUGGGCAAUAACUGACGCUGAGGAGCGAAAGCGUGGGGAGCGAACAGG
rnacentral:rRNA from 1 species